AGAAACCGCUACCUCAGCAAAGGAUGCCCUGGAUGGAAGAAGCAUUCCCAGCUACUUGAUUCCGGAACUGGGACCAUGUACCCUUAAAAUCACAUAUUCUGCCCAUACUGAUCUGAGUGUGAAGUUUCAGAGUCAUCGUAGCAGGGACUACACCAAUUCUCUUCUUCCUGUUGCUUCCUCAGCCAUAGAUUCAAGUGGUCAGUUCAGUUUGGGUCUGGAUGGGAAGAAACUGGAACCUGAGAGUAAUGUUCUUCUUGCUUCCAUUGAGAACAUGCAGUAUGCAGUAACCUUGGAUGUCCUAUACACGGUUUUCUCAGCUUUUGGUCCUGUCCUAAAGAUUGCAAUGUUUGAUAAGAAU
rnacentral:misc_RNA from 1 species